UACAGAGGUCUCAAGCGUUGUUCGGAUUCAUUGGGCGUAAAGGGUGCGUAGGCGGCGCGGUAAGUCGGGUGUGAAAUCUUGGAGCUUAACUCCGAAACUGCAUUCGAUACUGCCGUGCUUGAGGACUGGAGAGGAGACUGGAAUUUACGGUGUAGCGGUGAAAUGCGUAGAUAUCGUAAGGAAGACCAGUGGCGAAGGCGGGUCUCUGGACAGUUCCUGACGCUGAAGCACGAGGGCCAGGGGAGCAAACGGG
rnacentral:rRNA from 1 species